rnacentral:rRNA from 1 species
AACGUAGGGGACGAGCGUUGUCCGGAUUUAUUGGGCGUAAAGAGCGCGCAGGCGGCUUCGCAAGUCGGGUGUGAAAAUCCGGGGCUCAACCCCGGACCUGCAUUCGAUACUGCGUGGCUAGAGGCAGGCAGGGGAGAUCGGAAUUCCUGGUGUAGCGGUGAAAUGCGCAGAUAUCAGGAGGAACACCGGUGGCGAAGGCGGGCCUCUGGGCCUUACCUGACGCUGAGGAGCGAAAGCAUGGGGAGCAAACAGG